GGGCCACUGCGUCUGCACUCCCUCCCCCAACCUGUCUCGGGUCAUGGCCUCAUGAGGCCUCACUCAGUGGUUCUUCUCCCUCCUCCCACUGGUUCUCUGGGCCCUUCUGGCCCUGAAGUCUGUGAAGACCCUCACUCCCCACAGACCUUUCUUCUGUUAUGGCUUUGCGCUCUCUGCUGACAGCAGAUCUGAGGCAGCCCCUGCCCAGGACGGUGUCCUCUACCAGCUGUGUUGGUGAGACCAGUCUGAGAGCAUCUCACUGUCUUUAAGUCCCCAUGGGUUCCCCUGCUCAAUUCCAGUCAGUGCCCACCUGCCCUGGAGUUGUAAGCUGAUCCACCGCCACCUGGACGUGAACUUAUAGGAAAAUGCUGGAAGUCAACAAGAUGGGCAUUUCCACAGGCUCCCCUGUCCCGGCAGGUCAGCCCCCACAAGCUCUGGUUGCUGGCGUUGCCUUGUGAGGUCCAGAGCAGAGCCCAGGCUUCUCCAAAACCAGGGCUGAGCCAACGAGGCUUCUGUAGUAUGGUUGUGGGGCUCCCUGAAAGGGAGACACGUGCCCAUGAGGGAAUAGCUGUUACCCAUGGCCAAAAAUUCCCUCCACGUGGGUCUUUGUGAGGGGAGAUUUUAAAAGAAUGCAGAGUCACAGGGACACAUGUUCCUGCUGUUGAUCAGCGCAUCUUAACAGGCCAGAUCUGCAGAGUGGCCCCCUCUAACCAUGCCCUGCAGGGGCUGGUGAGCUGCUGUCCCCCAGCCUUCCUCAGUGUCCAAGUUCCUCUUCCUGGGGAGGGAGUGGAAAGGGAUGGGAGUGGUAAUUGUCCUCACUAACCAUGUGCCCUAGCCAACCCCCAACCUUUGUGCAGGCACUCCUGGUGUCCAUGGUUUAACACAGGCCCCCUGUUCCAGCAGAGAUGGUGUCCUUGUCUGUCCUUGCCUACUCCAAGUGCUCUGCCAGUCCCCUGCUUAUCCAGGUUUUUAAUUCCUGUGCCCUGCUCUGAGACUGCUCCCCUCUGCUGUGGUCCUGUGGCCACUGCGUUGUUAGAGCUGCCCACUUUGUACAUAUCACAUGCUGCCUGAGUUACUUGUACAUCUUACUUUUGCCUCUAGUUUUGUAAGCUCCUGGAGGGUGGAUACCCCCUCUUAGAUUUCUCUUGUAUUCACAGCACCUCAUGCAGUGCUGGGCACAGAGUAGGUGCUCAAUAAAGAUUUAUUGAACGAGUG